rnacentral:rRNA from 1 species
CGGCCGCGUCGACGUAACGGGCCCACCAAGGCGACGAUGGAUAGGGGUUCUGAGAGGAAGGUCCCCCACAUUGGAACUGAGACACGGUCCAAACUCCUACGGGAGGCAGCAGUGAGGAAUAUUGGUCAAUGGACGAGAGUCUGAACCAGCCAAGUAGCGUGAAGGAUGACUGCCCUAUGGGUUGUAAACUUCUUUAUACGGGAAUAACCGGUUCCACGUGUGGAACUUUGCAUGUACCGUAUGAAUAAGCAUCGGCUAACUCCGUGCCAGCAGCCGCGGUAAUACGGAGGAUGCGAGCGUUAUCCGGAUUUAUUGGGUUUAAAGGGAGCGUAGGUGGGAAGCUAAGUCAGUUGUGAAAGUUUGCGGCUCAACCGUAAAAUUGCAGUUGAAACUGGUUUCUUGAGUAC